rnacentral:rRNA from 1 species
GAUGAACGCUGGCGGCGUGCUUAACACAUGCAAGUCGAACGAUGAAAGCGGGAGCUUGCUCCUGCUGGAUUAGUGGCGAACGGGUGAGUAACACGUGAGCAAUCUGCCCCGAACUCCGGGAUAAGCGUUGGAAACGACGUCUAAUACCGGAUACGACGCGCGAAGGCAUCUUCUGCGCGUGGAAAGAACUUCGGUUAGGGAUGAGCUCGCGGCCUCUCAGCUAGUUGGUGAGGUAACCGCCCACCAAGGCGACGACGGGUAGCCGGCCUGAGAGGGUGACCGGCGACACUGGGACUGAGCCACGGCCCAGACUCCCACGUGAGACAGCAGUGGCGAAUAUUGGACAAUGGGCGUAAGCCUGAUCCAGCAACGCCGCGUGAGGGAUGACGGCCUUCGGGUUGUAAACCUCUUUUAGCAGGGAAGAAGCGAAAGUGACGGUACCUGCAGAAAAAGCACCGGCUAACUACGUGCCCGCCGCCGCAGUAACAC